AAGUCAGAGGUGAAAUCCUGAGCUCAACUGUGGAACUGCCUUUGAUACUGGUUGACUUGAGUUAUUGUGAAGUAGAUAGAAUGUGUAGUGUAGCGGUGAAAUGCAUAGAUAUUACACAGAAUACCGAUUGCGAAGGCAGAUUACUAAGCAAUUACUGACGCUGAUGGACGAAAGCGUGGGGAGCGAACAGGAUUAGAUACCCUGGUAGUCCACGCCGUAAACGAUGGAUACUAGCUGUUGGGCCUACGCUGGGUGGGUGAGCGGAAAAGAGAAAGUUACCACCCCUGGGGAGUACGACCGCAAGGCUGAAACUCAAAUGAAU
rnacentral:rRNA from 1 species